rnacentral:rRNA from 1 species
UCAAACUGGCAGUUCGAACGGAGUUUGUUAUACAGAAGUUCUUCGCGAUGGAAGUAUAAGAACUUAGUGGCGGCACGGACAGCAACGCGUGGGUAACCUGCCCUUUUGUGGGGAACCCUUUCGAGAAAUCGGAGCUAAUACCGCAUAAUAAUAGAGAAUCGCAUGAUUUUCUAAGGAAAGAUGGCCUCUGAAGAUGCUAUCGCAAAAGGAUGGACCCGCGUCUGAUUAGCUAGUUGGAAGGGUAACGGCCUACCAAGGCAACGAUCAGUAGCCGGCCUGAGAGGGUGAACGGCCACAUUGGGACUGAGACACGGCCCAAACUCCUACGGGAGGCAGCAGUGGGGAAUCUUCCGCAAUGGGCGAAAGCCUGACGGAGCAAUGCCGCGUGAGUGAAGAAGGCCUUCGGGUUGUAAAACUCUGUCCUUAUCGAAGAGAGGUGGGUAUGUGAAUAAUGUACUCAUAGGACGGUAGAUAAGGAGGAAGCCCCGGCUAACUACGUGCCAGCAGCCGCGGUAAUACGUAGGGGGCGAGCGUUGUCCGGAAUCACUGGGCGUAAAGGGCGCGUAGGCGGUUUAAUAAGUCAGUGGUGAAAACUGAGGGCUCAACCCUCAGCCUGCCACUGAUACUGUUAGACUUGAGUAUGGAAGAGGAGAAUGGAAUUCCUAGUGUAGCGGUGAAAUGCGUAGAUAUUAGGAGGAACACCAGUGGCGAAGGCGAUUCUCUGGGCCAAGACUGACGCUGAGGCGCGAA